rnacentral:lncRNA from 1 species
CUUGGGUCGGACAUACUUUCUGUGUCCCGUAUACAAUAGUAUAAGUGCAUUUUUUUUUUUUUACUUUGUGUCUUUUCUUUCUCGCGGUCGUCCGUCUGUCUGUCUGUCAUGGAUCGUGUGAAAGCUUUGAUAUACAUAAGGGAGUUUCAGAUCUCCUGAUGUCUUGGGGAUAUCAACCUGACAUUUAUUACACCUGUUCAGUGUGGUGUGAAUUUUUUAAAGUAUAUAUAUACCAAAAUUAUGACUUAGAACAAGAAUUUUGCAGUUAACUAAAAAUAGAAAUGUGUC